UUCCCACUCUCUACUCUCCACUUUUACUAAUUGUCUGCUGAAUAUUUAAGAUCUGAAAUUCUGAAUUUAAUUAUCUCCAAUCUCCACUUUUCACUCUCCACUCUCUCAGCGCCUCUGGUUUUGCUUGCUAGCGAGAAUAAGUGGCUGAAGAAAAUGAGGAACAACAUGACAGAGAUCAAUCAGUGGUGGGAUACUGGGAUGAAAUUAUAAUGCCUGCAGACGAAGAGCCACUGCAUGAAAAUCAUGAAGAAGAUGGUAAAAUCACUGAACUAGAGAGCACUAAUGCAAUCAAGUGAUGCAGUGACAGGUUGUGAAGAAUCUGUGACGACAAGAGAACUGGGGAAUGCUUGAUGAUACAUUGCAAAUGUCUUUGUGACAAAGGCUAUCAGAUUCUUCUCCCUAUAAGAAACUGUUACUGCAAACUUAUGUAGAUCAUGACAGAUUAUUGGUCCAAAAUCCUGAUAUCAAGUACUAAUAUACUUUUUUAUUUGUACUGCUUGUUCAUUCUUUAGGCUUUCCAUCUUCUUUUUAUCUGCAAGAUUCUUUGAGUUGCAGUGCUAACCCUUCAUAUAUAGUCAUAAGUUUCUUUUCUUGAGAAGUUUAGCAUAAUGGAGAGUAGAUGUUGUAUGAACCUUGCUGGAAUUCAUAGAUAUGAUUGUUAAUCAAAUAAUUUUUCUGCUUCA